CCUACGGGUGGCAGCAGUGGGGAAUAUUGGACAAUGGGCGAAAGCCUGAUCCAGCCAUGCCGCGUGUGUGAAGAAGGCCUUCGGGUUGUAAAGCACUUUCAGUGGGGAAGAAAGCCUUGGGGGUAAUACCCUCGAGGAAGGACAUCACCCACAGAAGAAGCACCGGCUAACUCCGUGCCAGCAGCCGCGGUAAUACGGAGGGUGCGAGCGUUAAUCGGAAUUACUGGGCGUAAAGCGCGCGUAGGCGGUCUGAUAAGCCGGUUGUGAAAGCCCCGGGCUCAACCUGGGAACGGCAUCCGGAACUGUCAGGCUAGAGUGCAGGAGAGGAAGGUAGAAUUCCCGGUGUAGCGGUGAAAUGCGUAGAGAUCGGGAGGAAUACCAGUGGCGAAGGCGGCCUUCUGGACUGACACUGACGCUGAGGUGCGAAAGCGUGGGUAGCAAACAGGAUUAGAUACCCGAGUAGUC
rnacentral:rRNA from 1 species